rnacentral:lncRNA from 1 species
UAACCCGCCCUGGACAGCGCCAUCUUGACGGGGCAUCGCGAAAGGGCAAAGGGCGAAGGUCAGGAGCGGGGAUGGGGGGGAGCGGCGGGCGCUGAUUGGCUGAAGGAGGCAGGGCGGGGCGCGGUGGCGGGAAGGGCAGGUGACGGCGGGCGGAAGUGGUUGGCUGCGGGCGGAAGUGGCGCCUCAGGAGGGUCCAGCUGUGGUGGGGGGCAGCUGAGGGUCUCCAUGAAGGGGCCCCAGUUAAGGGCUCUCCAAUUAAGGGCUCCCCGUUAAGGCCCCUCCAUUAAGGGUUUCUAUUAAGGGCCUCCCUUAAGCCCUCUCCAUUAAGAGCCCCCCAUUUAGGUCCCCUUUUAGGGCCUCCACAUUAAAGCCCCCCCCCAUUAAGGGCCCCAAUUUUUCAGCAGCGUUUUUUAGUUAAAUGUUAGCGUAUUUCGCACCUUUGCGAGGUAACGCGAGGCCCCAGCAGAGGCCUGGCAGUGCCGUUUUUGGCUUUACGAAGCGGAGGGCAGUCAGGUCCCAGGAGAGGGGCCUAACCCCGGGCAUAACCCCGGGUUCCUGGGCGUUUCAGCUGUGCCGGGGGGGGAGGCUGUAACUCGCCCUGGCUUUUCCCCUGCCACCCUGUCCCUGGCAGCAGGCGGGAGAGCGCCGCAUCCCCGGCGUGGGCCAGCGUCGCAGUGGAGGGGCUGUGGGCCAUUCCGAGCCUCUGCUGCCCCGGGCAGGGCCUCCUCUGCGCAGACCACGUCCGCAGGCGUUGGUCUAACCCGUUUCUGCUCCUCGCGUGGCGGAGACUUGGCUGACUCCAGUGCUUGGCGGUCCCUGCGCCAGGAAGGUUUCCCUUGCCCUGCCUCGGCUCUGCUUGGUGCAAGGUUUUCCGGCAUCUCCUCCGUCCUCUGUGAGUUCUCAAAGAUGCUUUUCCAAGGAGGAUCCCAUCUUCUCCCUAGUGAAAGUCAAAAAACCCACCAUGAGCCUCUUCGACAGCUAAGGGAGGCGGGAGCAGCGUGAAGGCAGUCACGCACGCAUGUGUCUUUGCCCUGCUGGGUGCCAAGGGAAGGGAUAAUGUCUUAUCAGUGCUGCACGUACCGAUGGCUGGAAAAUGCACAAUAGCGCCAGUUUGGGCUCUAAUCUGUCAAAUAGCCCUGGUGGAGCAGAGUCCAGGCUGCCUUGCGACCUAAUCACCGGAGCGCUCCCGAUGCUCA